AUUUAAGGUAUUUGUGAAAAUAGUCAUUCAUUAAUGGUAAAUUUGAAAAGUGUUAUCAAACUUGUGGAAGAAUUGAAAUUUGCACAUUUUUAUUUAAGGAAAGAAUAAAGAAUAUUUUUUUUACGCUACUAAUAAAUUAAAUACUUAGUUUAAUAAAAAGUAUAAUAUAUAUUUAGUGAACCAACAUAAUUUUCUUAAAGAUUCUAAGAAUCAUCCUGGUGAUGACACGUAGGUACCACAAAUGUUGUGAUGAUGAAUCCAUUGAUUUUUAAUAAUAUGAGAUUUGUGUUAUUGUUACAUAUGGAAACGAGCUUCAUUUAUAAGAAAUUGAAUGGCUGAAAUUUAGAGACUUCAAACAAACAUUAUAUCAACAUAAUCUAAAAAUCAUAGAUUGAAUACAAACAAAAUUAUAAGAGUCGAAAAGACAACACUUUACUAAACAAAAAGAGCCAAACAUACAUUAUUAAUGGAUAAAAAAACGAAAACACAUUAUCAAAACAUAAAAAAAUAUACAUUAUUAAAAUUGAAAAAGAUGAACACACAUUAUUAAAACAAACAGACACACAUUAUUAAAGCAUAAAAACAAACACACAUUUUGAAUAUUGUGGGUCUACUAAUUUCCAAAUAGAUCGUGGGUCAACUUCUCCAACAAUUCUUUGCCCCGGUCAUCAAGUUGAUCUUUUUCACAUAACUUCAACAACAACUUCAUUUUUUUGUAAGAGUAUUUUAUUUCAUCAGUUGAUUUGUUUCCUCUUGCCUCAUAGCUAUUUUUUUCAAUCGUUCCAACUCUUUCUUCUUGAAUUGUUUGAAUUCAUUCCAUUCUUCGUUAACCGAUUCCAAAGCUGCACCUUUACUUUCUUUUUUUAAAAUUUUUUUCAUAGUGAAUCAUCUCCAUGCGAACCACCUUCCCAUCACAUCAGUAAUUUUUGCAUUUAUAAAAAAGAGGAGUGUGCUCCCAAACAAUACGAGGAUGUUCCAAAAAAAAAAACAAGAGGGGUGAUUAAUCCACUUUAUGGUUUGUAUUUUCGGUUUAAUCCUACUAUAUAAGAGAAGCUAAUUUGGGAUGUUCUAAGGGGUACCACAUAGGCAAAAUAAUCCCUACCUAUCAUACUGCCAUGUCAUCGCGGAUGUUUAACUGACGGGCCCCGAACCUUUCAAACCCGUCAAGAUAACAAUCCAUUUGCAAAGGUUUCUGUUUGUCUUUCCAACUCUGGGCUUAACAGCAAAAAUAUUCAUUCAAAAAAGCUCUAUAGUCUCUUGACUCUAACCUCAGCCGCUCGGGGUCGUUUAUCACAGCCAAUAUCCCCGUUAACACUUACUGCUACCAUUAAUUUCUUCCCCAAAGCAUAAAACCGUCAACUAUUUGGCUUCCCCUCACCAAUUCUAUAAAAGCCGGCAUAGUUAGAAAGCAUGAUCUCUCUAACAACAAGCUUCUGGUCAGAAAAGCUUAGGAAAUUCGCCACCUUUCUGACGCUCAGUUCAAUCAUCCAUCAUCGGCGUUGUAAGACAUCACCGGUAUUUGAUUUUAUAUAUACUCCAUUUCAUCUAUUUUAGUAUUGGAUUUGACAGGGUGAGAUCUGUAAAGAUGUGAUCUAUCUGAAAAUUGCAGCCUAUCAAACAUUCACAAUUGAAUCAGCUUCAGUUGUGGGUAUAUCUAAAGUAUAUUACUAUUACUUACACCCGUGUCUAUUCCAUGUUGUAGAUUAUUUUCAAAAUACAUGCAGCGAUUAAGUUGAGUCGUAUGUUCGAAAAGGCAUUCACGAGAUCAUUCAAUAGCCUGCAAAACAUUAUUGGAGUCCAGUGGGUUUCCUUCUUCAGUAUCAGUUUGUUUAGUUUGAACUUAGAAAAACAUUAUUCACGAGAUCAUUCACUUCAAUUACAAAUACUUUCAUGAAUCUGUUUGUUUAGUUGAUUAAAAAUGUGCAUUUCAGGAUUAAGCUUAAUAUAAAAGCACUAGCAGUUCAGAGUGGCCGAGGAAGAGUAAUCAAAUCCGAGCAAAACAUGUUAUCUUUGUUUUCAGUUUGACAUGUAUUUGACUGGACAAUCUUGAAGUAUCCACAGUUUGGCUCUAGCUCCACUCUAGCUCAAAACCAAGAUCGAGUCUUACACGUUAACCAGCUUUGUAUCCUCCAGUGCCAUCUGGUGAGAGACCAUAGAAACCUUCGGAACCUGCAGCUUUGGCUAAGUUGAUGAAGAAGCAAGAGACGAAGAAGGAAAUCAAUUAAAUGAUGAAUCGCAAACUUACUGGCUGUUCCAACAGAUAAUUGUGAAGGUGAUGUGUCAAGCUCUGGUCUGGUAGAGACUAAAGAAAGGGUAUUCUAAGCAAAAAGACGGAGUGGGGAAAGCGAUUGAUAAUUGUAUACUUGAGUCAACAAUAAAAAUUUAUAUAUUCUAUACAUUUGAUUUUGGCACAAAAAAAUUUCAAAAUUUUUUAAGUUUAUAAUUUUUUUUCCGACCAAAAUAUUUGUAAAUAAUAUGAAUAUUUUGGUGAUUUUGAUGACGGGAAAAAUAAAAAUUGAA